UUCCGGUUGAUCCUGCCGGACCUGACUGCUAUCGGAUUGAUACUAAGCCAUGCGAGUCAUUGUAGCAAUACAAGGCAGACGGCUCAGUAACGCGUAGUCAACCUACCCUAUGGACGGGGAUAACCUCGGGAAACUGAGAAUAAUACCCGAUAGAACAUUAUGCCUGGAAUGGUUUAUGCUUCAAAUAAUUUAUUGCCGUAGGAUGGGACUGCGGCCUAUCAGUUUGUUGGUGAGGUAAUGGCCCACCAAGACUAUUACAGGUACGGGCUCUGAGAGGAGUAGCCCGGAGAUGGGUACUGAGACACGGACCUAGGCCCUAUGGGGCGCAGCAGGCGAGAAAACUUUGCAAUGUGCGAAAGCACGACAAGGUUAAUCCGAGUGGUUUCUGCUAAAGGAAUCUUUUGUCAGUCCUAGAAACACUGGUGAAUAAGGGGUGGGCAAGUUCUGGUGUCAGCCGCCGCGGUAAAACCAGCACCUCAAGUGGUCAGGAUGAUUAUUGGGCCUAAAGCAUCCGUAGCCUGCUUUGUAAGUUUUCGGUUAAAUCCAUACGCUCAACGUAUGGGCUGCCGGGAAUACUGCAAAGCUAGGGAGUGGGAGAGGUAGACGGUACUCGGUAGGAAGGGGUAAAAUCCUUUGAUCUAUUGAUGACCACCUGUGGCGAAGGCGGUCUACCAGAACACGUCCGACGGUGAGGGAUGAAAGCUGGGGGAGCAAACCGGAUUAGAUACCCGGGUAGUCCCAGCUGUAAACUAUGCAAACUCAGUGAUGCAUUGGCUUGAUGCCAAUGCAGUGCUGCAGGGAAGCCGUUAAGUUUGCCGCCUGGGAAGUACGUACGCAAGUAUGAAACUUAAAGGAAUUGGCGGGGGAGCACCACAAGGGGUGAAGCCUGCGGUUCAAUUGGAGUCAACGCCGGG
rnacentral:rRNA from 1 species